rnacentral:misc_RNA from 1 species
GCAAACUUGGUCAUUUAGAGGAAGUAAAAGUCGUAACAAGGUCUCCGUAGGUGAACCUGCGGAGGGAUCAUUCCCGAGUGGCUCCUCUGGGGCCUUCGACCCUUAACCAACUGUGGAACCAAGGAGUGCUUUGGCAUCUUGCCGCUAUGGCGGGGUGUCACUUCUGUAUAGUCUGAUAGUCUAUGAGUCUGAUGUCAGUUGUUAAUUCUAAAAACUUUCAACAAAGGAUCUCUUGGCUCUUGCAUCGAUGAAGAACGCAGC